AAGCUGUACAGCUUUUCAAAUUUCACAAACCUGACAAAAAUUAGUUUCCGCUAAAAUCCAAGCAUUAUAAUCUUGCUCUGUUUUUGAAA